rnacentral:rRNA from 1 species
UUUCUAAUUCUUUCUGGAGGAGCUUGCUAUCUAACCGAUAAUCCACGUCACACCUUACCAGCCCUAGAAAAAACAGCUUGUAUACCAUCGUCGUCAGUUUACUUCACAAGAAACGUAAACAUAAAGAACCCAAACUUCCCAACGUCAGAUCGAGGUGCAGCUUAUGAGCUGGGGAUAAGUGAGCUACAAUCAUAACAUAAAACAAAAAUUAUGAAUGGACAGCUGGCUGACAAACCCGCCCAAAACAGGAUUCAGAAGUAAUGAGCAACAAGAAAAUGCCCAUGAACAAAUUAAGCCCUAGAACGCGC